CUUCUCUCAACCUCAACAGGGUGUGCUUGGAGGACCAGAGCUCCCAGAGCAAACAGGAACCUCCAGGAAACACCCAAAUUUACUCCUUAAAUGCCUCUUGGACGCGCGUGCUAUUCUUGUGGGGCAGGCUCAGGACCAGGACAGUCCUGUCACCAGUUGCCCCGUGACAGUCACCUCGGAGCGACGUCGCAGAGCCCCUGGCAGCACACCCGUUUAUUUCCCUGCACUGACAACAGGUUUCAUCAGGCUUGAAGCUCAGCCACUGAUCAUGUUUCACCACAG
rnacentral:lncRNA from 1 species